rnacentral:rRNA from 1 species
GUAGGUGAACCUGCUGCAGGAUCAUUA